CACCGGCAGCUCUAGUGGUAGCAGUUUUUAUUGGGCCUAAAGCGUCCGUAGCCGGUUUAAUAAGUCUCUGGUGAAAUCCUGUAGCUUAACUGUGGGAAUUGCUGGAGAUACUAUUAGACUUGAGACCGGGAGAGGUUAGAGGUACUCCCAGGGUAGAGGUGAAAUUCUGUAAUCCUGGGAGGACCGCCUGUUGCGAAGGCGUCUAACUGGAACGGUUCUGACGGUGAGGGACGAAAGUUAGGGGCGCGAACCGG
rnacentral:rRNA from 1 species